rnacentral:ncRNA from 1 species
CGUCUCCUCCACCUCCUCCUUUGGUGGAUUAGCCCGCACGCUUAUCCGUGCGGGCUUUUUUC